UAGUCCACGCCGUAAACGAUGGAUACUAGCUGUCCGGAAUCUUGAAUUCUGGGCGGCCAAGCGAAAGUGAUAAGUAUCCCACCUGGGGAGUACGUUCGCAAGAAUGAAACUCAAAGGAAUUGACGGGGGCCCGCACAAGCGGUGGAGCAUGUGGUUUAAUUCGAUGAUACGCGAGGAACCUUACCAGGGCUUAAAUGCAUAUUGACAGGUCUAGAGAUAGAUUUUCCUUCGGGCAAUUUGCAAGGUGCUGCAUGGUUGUCGUCAGCUCGUGCCGUGAGGUGUCAGGUUAAGUCCUAUAACGAGCGCAACCCCUGCCGUUAGUUGCCAGCAUGUUAUGAUGGGGACUCUAACGGGACUGCCGGUGCAAACCGUGAGGAAGUGGGAUGACGUCAAAUCAUCAUGGCCUUUAUGCCCAGGGCUACACACGUGCUACAAUGGUAUGGACAAGGGUUGCUACUGGUGACAGAUGCCAAUCCCAAAACNUAU
rnacentral:rRNA from 1 species